rnacentral:rRNA from 1 species
AUUGAACGCUGGCGGCAUGCUUUACACAUGCAAGUCGAACGGUAACAGGCCGCAAGGUGCUGACGAGUGGCGAACGGGUGAGUAAUGCAUCGGAACGUGCCCAGUCGUGGGGGAUAACGCAGCGAAAGCUGUGCUAAUACCGCAUACGAUCUAUGGAUGAAAGCGGGGGACCGUAAGGCCUCGCGCGAUUGGAUCGGCCGGUGUCAGAUUAGGUAGUUGGUGGGGUAAAGGCUAACCAAGCUAACGAUGUGUAGCUGGUCUGAGAGGACGACCAGCGACACUGGGACUGAGACACGGCCCAGACUCCUACGGGAGGCAGCAGUGGGUGAUUUUGGACAAGGGGCGAGAGGCUGAUCCAGCAAUGCCGCGAGCAGGAAGAAGGCCUGCGGGUUGUAAGAUGCUUUUGUACGAAGCGAAAAGAUUUGGGUUAAUACCCUGGGCCGAUGACGGUACCGUAAGAAUAAGCACCGGCUAACUACGUGCCAGCCGCCGCCGUAA